rnacentral:rRNA from 1 species
UGCAGUCGCACGAGAACGCUUCAGCUUGCUGAAGUAAGUAAAGUGGCGCACGGCCUGAGUAACGCGUGGGUAAUCUACCCUUGAAUUGGGGAUAACCCGCCGAAAGGCGGGCUAAUACCGAAUGACAUCUUGAAAAUUUAUGUUUUCAGGAUCAAAGGUGGCCUCUACAUGUAAGCUACUGUUUGGGGAUGAGCCCGCGUACCAUUAGCUUGUUGGUAGGGUAAUGGCCUACCAAGGCAACGAUGGUUAGCUGGUCUGAGAGGAUGAUCAGCCACACUGGAACUGACACACGUUCCAGACUCCUACGGGAGGCAGCAGUGAGGAAUUUUGCGCAAUGGGGGAAACCCUGACGCAGCAACGCCGCGUGAGUGAUGAAGGCUUUCGGGUCGUAAAGCUCUGUCAAGUGGGAAGAAACCAUAUGGUAUUAAUACCGCCAUAUGUUGACGGUACCAUUGAAGGAAGCACCGGCUAACUCCGUG